rnacentral:rRNA from 1 species
CAGCCGCGGUAAUACGUAGGGUGCAAGCGUUAAUCGGAAUUACUGGGCGUAAAGCGUGCGCAGGCGGUUCGGAAAGAAAGAUGUGAAAUCCCAGAGCUUAACUUUGGAGCUGCAUUUUUAACUACCGAGCUAGAGUGUGUCAGAGGGAGGUGGAAUUCCGCGUGUAGCAGUGAAAUGCGUAGAUAUGCGGAGGAACACCGAUGGCGAAGGCAGCCUCCUGGGAUAACACUGACGCUCAUGCACGAAAGCGUGGGGAGCAAACAGGAUUAGAUACCCUGGUAGUCCACGCCCUAAACGAUGUCAACUAGCUGUUGGGGCCUUCGGGCCUUGGUAGCGCAGCUAACGCGUGAAGUUGACCGCCUGGGGAGUACGGUCGCAAGAUUAAAACUCAAAGGAAUUGACGGGGACCCGCACAAGCGGUGGAUGAUGUGGAUUAAUUCGAUGCAACGCGAAAAACCUUACCUACCCCUGACAUGUCUGGAAUUCCGAAGAGAUUUGGAAGUGCUCGCAAGAGAACCGGAACACAGGUGCUGCAUGGCUGUCGUCAGCUCGUGUCGUGAGAAGUUGGGUUAAGUCCCGCAACGAGCGCAACCCUUGUCAUUAGUUGCUACGAAAGGGCACUCUAAUGAGACUGCCGGUGACAAACCGGAGGAAGGUGGGGAUGACGUCAAGUCCUCAUGGCCCUUAUGGGUAGGGCUUCACAUGUCAUACAAUGGUCGGGACAGAGGGUCGCCAACCCGCGAGGGGGAGCCAAUCCCAGAAACCCGAUCGUAGUCCGGAUCGCAGUCUGCAACUCGACUGCGUGAAGUCGGAAUCGCUAGUAAUCGCGGAUCAGCAUGUCGCGGUGAAUACGUUCCCGGGUCUUGUACACACCGCCCGU